rnacentral:rRNA from 1 species
AACGGUUGCUAAGACUGGAUAGGAAACAAAAAGGCAUCUUUUUGUUUUUAAAAGACCUUCUUAUGAAGGUAUGCUUAAAGAGGGGCUUGCGCCACAUUAGUUAGUUGGUAGGGUAAAAGCCUACCAAGACGAUGAUGUGUAGCUGGACUGAGAGGUUGAACAGCCACAUUGGGACUGAGACACGGCCCAAACUCCUACGGGAGGCAGCAGUAGGGAAUUUUCGGCAAUGGAGGAAACUCUGACCGAGCAACGCCGCGUGAACGAUGAAGUAUUUCGGUAUGUAAAGUUCUUUUAUUGAAGAAGAAAAAGUAGUGGAAAAACUAUAUUGACGUUAUUCAAUGAAUAAGCCCCGGCUAACUAUGUGCCAGCAGCCGCGGUAAGACAUAGGGGGCGAGCGUUAUCCGGAAUUAUUGGGCGUAAAGGGUGCGUAGGCUGUUAGAUAAGUCUAUAAUUUAAUUUCAGUGCUUAACGCUGUCUUGUUAUAGAAACUGUCUUGACUAGAGUGAGAUAGAGGCAAGCGGAAUUCCAUGUGUAGCGGUAAAAUGUGUAAAUAUAUGGAGGAACACCAGAAGCGUAGGCGGCUUGCUGGGUCUUUACUGACGCUGAGGCACGAAAGCGUGGGUAGCAAACAGGAUUAGAUACCCUGGUAGUCCACGCCGUAAACGAUGAGUACUAAGUGUCGGGGUAAAACUCGGUACUGAAGUUAACACAUUAAGUACUCCGCCUGAGUAGUACGUACGCAAGUAUGAAACUUAAAGGAAUUGACGGGACUCCGCACAAGCGGUGGAUCAUGUUGUUUAAUUCGAAGAUACACGAAAAAUCUUACCAGGUCUUGACAUACUCUGCAAAGCUAUAGAAAUAUAGUGGAGGUUAUCAGGGAUACAGGUGGUGCAUGGUUGUCGUCAGUUCGUGUCGUGAGAUGUUAGGUUAAGUCCUAAAACGAGCGCAACCCUUGUCGUUAAUUGCCAGCACGUAAUGGUGGGGACUUUAGCGAGACUGCCAAUUAAACAUUGGAGGAAGGUGAGGAUUACGUCAAAUCAUCAUGCCCCUUAUGAUCUGGGCUACAAACGUGAUACAAUGGCUGUGACAAAGAGUAGCUGAAACGCGAGUUUUUAGCCAAUCUCAAAAAAGCAGUCUCAGUUCGGAUUGAAGUCUGUAACUCGACUUCAUGAAGUUGGAAUCGCUAGUAAUCGCGAAUCAGCAUGUCGCGGUGAAUACGUUCUCGGGGUUUGUACACACCGCCCGUCAAA